rnacentral:rRNA from 1 species
AUGUUGAUGCAAGACUAUUUCGCGGAGAAUCCAACGUAUCCACCGCACCUCUUCUGGAGAAGGUACCGAAUGCGCCGACCCCUCUUUGUGAGAAUUGUUCAAGCUUGCGAGGCAUAUUGUUGGUAUUUUACUCAACGAAGAAAUGCUACGGGCUUGAAGGGAUUUAGUGCAUAUAAAAAAAUCUCGGAAGCUAUGCGGGUGAUUGCAUAUGGUGUUCCUGCUGAUUAUGCCGAUGAGUAUCUCCGCAUUGGUGAAGAUACAACAAUUGAGUCAGUGCGUAGAUUUGCGAAAGUGAUCAUCCGUGUCUUUGGUCCUGAAUAUCUUCGGGCACCGAAUGAGGAUGACACAAAGAAAUUGAUGGCAUCUAAUGAGAGGAGUGGUUGGCCUGGCAUGCUAGGUUUGUAUGCAUUGGACAUGGAAAAAUUGCCUGAAGGCAUGGCAGGAAAUGUAUUGUGGCAUGUCUCGUGA